rnacentral:rRNA from 1 species
AUGAGAGCAGGAUAUGUUCUUCCACCAUUUAUAGUUACCACGGAUUACUACUAUGGUAAGUUGCUUAUUAGCUACCGUUCCUCCCCUCCUCCCCUCGUGCCCCCCUCCACGCCCAGCCCCCCAGCUCCGCUGUCGCCACAGGACGCACCACCUCCCCUCCCACUUCCGCUACGCCGCCGCCGGGGGGCUGACCACCAUGGUCGUGCUGCGCCUCGGGAAGACGGCGGCGGGACGGAUCCGUCCCCUGGUCGCUCCCCCACCCUCCCUGCGUCAUGGAUCUCCUGCAGGGGCGCCCCCUCCCAGCUGCUGCACAACUCUGCCGGUCUGGCAGCGGGCGCGCUGUGUGUGGCCCAACCCUGUUGGUGCUGCCGCCCAUGCUUUGGGCAUGCGUUUUGCGGCCGGUAA